rnacentral:lncRNA from 1 species
ACUUAUUAAUUUAUAUAGGAUGCUGAAGCAUGUAAUCACCUUACUGUUGUUGUUUUUUUUUUGGUGGUAUGAAAUCUGUUUCCAUGGAAAUACACUGGGAAUAUUCAAAUGAGGUGUUAUUCAUGAGCUGAACGUUUGUAAAGCACAGUAGCAGACGCUGCUGUAAACUAACAGUCUUCUUUGCCUUUAAGUGCCUGUGAACAAUACCUGGAUGUGAUGAGUGAGCAGCACUGCUUGCAGCUCCAACACCGCUCACUACGACUUCACCGCUUUUCCAUAACGUCUGCCAAGGUCACAUCCAUUUGUCGUCAGCCGCUAAAUCUGGUCACGGUGUCGAUCCCGGCCGACACUGGCCGAGAGUCGGGGUACAUUCAGGACACGUCGCCCUGUUCAUCACAGAUAUGAGGGGCGACGGGGGAAUAUUGUAGUACUGUACUAUCCAAAGCCAUUAGAGAGCACAGCCUCAUAAGUCCGCUGUAAUUGGUCAGGGAGUGAUAAUGAGCUUGUUCCCGCUGAGGAGGCGUGACUGGACGCAGAAACAGAAGAGUCCAAAUAACACAAUUAAUUGGAAGGCCCUGUCCUUCACUCUGGACCUGAUGCUAAAAUAAAAAUGGUUCACAAUCCUCUGGGAGGUGAUGACAGUUGAUUUGAGGAUGUCACCACUGCUGUAACGUCCCCAACCUUCACUGAAGAGUUACAUGUUUUUUGUAUUUG